rnacentral:lncRNA from 1 species
CCGCACAACGUUUCCGCGGCAAAGAUGCUGUAACAAACUUUAAACCACUCUCUGACCACAACAACGAUGACAUGGAACUCGAGUUUCUCAACUCGCAUUCCAAGUCAGAGAUUGUGGACAUGUUAAGAAAACAUACAUACAAUGACGAACUGGAACAGAGCAAGCGCAGUCAUGGCUUCGUCAGCAGACGAAGCCAUGGCUGUUCUGACUCUGUUAACUUUGCCAGCUCGGCAUACAAUACCGAUAAAAAGGCACGUGAAGCUCUGUUCGAAAAGGUUGUUACCCCG